AUGAACGGGUUCAAGGUGCUGCGGCCGGCGAGGCUUCAUCUGACGCGAACAACACACAUCACACCCAAGACGGCAGCCGCCAACUGUUGGGCUGCCCAAAUUCAAGGUAAACUUGAAAUGGGACCUCCAUCUGCUUGGGCUCACGCUACCGUUCUUGCCAGAGUCAGACGACCUGCCGAGCAUGUGCCAAUGUGCAAGGACCACGACAGGCAGCCGACAUUCCUGAGAAAGAGGGUGCACCAAGCAGUCGUCAAUGUGGACGAAGAAGGAACUGAGGCGGCCACGAUCAUAUUUGGAUCAUACAAUGUGCUGGGAAGACACCAAGCAAUGAGUUCGUCUCCGACCAUCCCUUCACUUUCUUCAUGA
rnacentral:rRNA from 1 species